rnacentral:lncRNA from 1 species
GAUCAGUUUCCUUUCCGCUUCCUUUCUCUUCCUCUCCGGUCUUUCCUGUGCCAGGCUCUGGGCAGCUGCUGGAAGCCAAGGCAUAUCCAUCAACACUCCUGCUUCAUGGGAGGAGAGAGACGAAGCCAGCAACAGAUCGGCCUAUUCAACUCAGCAUCAGGAGAGAACAGAAACCACCUGGGGAGUGGGGUCUCCAACCGUGUCGGGCGAGGACUCAGAGUUGGCAGCAGUCACUGCCAAAGGCAGGAGGAGAUAACCAGUUAGCAGGCCUGUCACAAGAUCAGCAACGCAUGAAAGACAAAAUGCUUCCCUGCGGCAGGAAGAGCCGACGCUUCCCUGCGGCAGGAAGAGCCGAUGACACACUGCACUUAAAGUAUUCCUCCAAGCCCCACCUCAUUCUUCCCAGAUCCUCUAGCCUUGGAGCACAGCCUCCAACUCUUCACUGAGCAUUUUCAGGAGUACAAUCUCAGGCGACUACCCCAAUCCUGCAAGAGAGGCUGCCUGCCCCCCUUUGACAGAUGAGGAAACUGAGGCCCACAGUGGGGAAAUGGAUGGCAGGAACUUGAACUGCAGAGAAGAGGCAGACUGAGUUUUCAAGUCUCAAAAGAACCUAUGUCUGGACUCUUAAAACAACUCUACAGAUGCCUGGAGCAGAGAGUUUUAAAAAUUAGCUCCAAAGCUAACCUCAUAUACAGGCAUGGGGACCCGUGGAGAGAGUACUCUUCUCUUCCUCUCCAAUGUUCCUGUCCCCAACCAGACCAUAAAAUCUUGAGGGCAGGGGCCAUGGCUGAAACUUCUGUUCUCUCCCACAAUACUUAGAACAGUACACAGAGUGUUUGCUCUAUGCGGAUUAAACAGAGCAGAUGCUUGCUGUAUGUGGAAUUUUUGUGUGUGUGUGUGAGACAGACUCUCACUCUGUCGCCCAGGCUGGAGUGCAAUGGUGCAGUCUCGGGCUCACUGCAACCUCUGCCUCCUGGGUUCAAGCGAUUCUUCUGUCUCAGCCUCCCGAGUAGCUGCGAUUACAGCUGCCCGCCACCACCCCCAGCUAAUUUUUGUAUUUUUAGUAGAGACAAGGUUUCACUAUGUUGGCCAGGCUGGUCUUGAACUCCUGACCUCAGGUGAUCCACCCACCCUGGCCUCUCAACGUGCUGGGAUUACAGGCGUGAGCCACCUCGCCCAGCCUCUAUGUGAAUUAAAUGCAAAUCGUUUGGAAUACUAUGCAGUCAUAUAAAAG